GCCUUAUCUGAUCACUUAGAAAGUUUAUAUAUACAUAUACAUAUAUAUGUAUGUAUAUAUAUGUAUGUAAGUGUGUAAUUUCUUACAGAUAGCUUAUAUAUAGUCGAGCACCGAUGUCUUCUUCAUUCUCACUUUAAAUCAACUGGUAUUUGGACAAACAUGUUAAUUAAGGAAACACAGGCUUUAAAACUUUGUCAAAAUACGUGCACCUCCACACAGGCAAGUAAGGUGAUUAAAUUUUCAGAUUUUAAAAGAGAUUGGUUGGUUGUCCUUGCUGAAACCAAAAUUUGUUUAUUUGGUUUCACUUAUAGCUUGUUCUGCUCUUUUCUCUCAAAAGCCACGAAUGAUGAGAUGACAAAAUAUUGGAUUAUUUGUGCUCUUGAAACAGAUGCCACCUGAGUUGUGACAGGAACUUUGGGGAACUCUAUUCUACAACAAUAAUGACAUGGAAGAGUUAAAAUUGGAUGUGUGGGUCAGUGUCACACGGGCCUGAGGAACUUUCACUGAGUCACCCCAGCGGUAGAGACAGAGAAGAAAUGCAGGUUUUUGCCACUUCAGAGAAGGGAGGGGCAUGGAAAAGGGGCAUGGCUGCAUGGAAAAGUCUGGAUACCAAAGCAAUCUUUGAGAUUGAGAGGAGAAUUUGGCAUGAGUUUUAUAUACAAGUGUGUAUACAAUCAAGUGUGGACAUGGAAGGCUCAAUGAAUGCCUGCACAGAGCCCAGACAUCACAAAGACUUAGGUAUAUCCUUCAGCCUUCAAAAAGGAAAGGAAGUAAGAAUUUUCAAGGACAGGCAUAUCCUUUUUUCUCUGGACCCCUGGAGAUUCAGACCAGGAGCCCUAUUAGGAUGA
rnacentral:lncRNA from 1 species